rfam:Eucalyptus grandis cultivar BRASTZ1 unplaced genomic scaffold scaffold_2641, whole genome shotgun sequence.
GGGUGCGAUCAGACCAGCACUAAUGCACCAGGACCCAUCAGAACUCCGAAGUUAAGCUGGCUUGGGCGAGAGUAGUGCUAGGAUGGGUGACCCCUUGGGAAGUCCUCGUGUUGCACCCC